rnacentral:rRNA from 1 species
UACGUAGGGUGCAAGCGUUGUCCGGAAUUAUUGGGCGUAAAGAGCUCAUAAACGGUCUGUCGCGUCGGCUGUGAAAACCCGGAGCUCAACUCCGGGCCUGCAGUCGAUACGGGCAGACUAGAGUUCGGCAGGGGAGACUGGAAUUCCUGGUGUAGCGGUGAAAUGCGCAGAUAUCAGGAGGAACACCAGUGGCGAAGGCGGGUCUCUGAGCCGAUACUGACGCUGAGGAGCGAAAGCGUGGGGAGCGAACAGG